rnacentral:rRNA from 1 species
AUUGAACGCUGGCGGCAGGCCUAACACAUGCAAGUCGAGCGACCGGCGGACGGGUAAUUCAUGUCUGGGUACUGCCCGAUUGAGGUGGAUAACUACUGGACACGGUAGCUAAUACCGCAUCCUAUCGGCUAACCCCUAUGGGAUUAGCUAGUAGGUGAGGUACUGGCUCACCUAGGCGACGAUCCCUAGCUGGUCUGAGAGGAUGAUCAGCCACACUGGGACUGAGACACGGUCCAGACGCCUACGGAGGCAGCAGUGGGGAAUAGUGCACAAUGGGCGCAAGCCUGAUACAGCCAUGCCGCGUGUAUGAAGAAGGCCCUAGGGUUGUAAAGUACGUUAAGUCGGGAGGCGUUACCGACAGAAGAAGCACCGGCUAACUCCGUGCCAGCAGCCGCGGUAAUAC